GAUUAGAACCAUAUCUCUCGCCGGGAGUGGCCGCGCGGCUCCGAAGCUCCCGGCCGGCGGCUAUUUAAGCGAGUCCCGCCGCAUCCGCUGCGCUGCAGCCUGGAGGCUCCGGGCGCGGGGAAGUCAUGCUCGCUUCGCGGAGGCAAUAGCUAGCCGUGCAACAGAAAUAAACCAAAUGUGUUCGAACAUAUGUCAGAAGGGUGACAUAAUCAUAUGAAGAAUGCUAUACCAGUUUGGCUUUGGGACGAAAUGUGAAUCUACUAGGGAAACAUACAAUUGCCCUCUGAGUCAGAAGAACAGAAGUUGCAGUGGCUACACAUAGUAGGUGCUCAAAUAUCCAUCCUUUAAAGGGAAGUGUCAGCUGUGCUUUAGUUAUAUCAGCAUUGGGUUUUGUUGUUACUUGAUUUUGUUUUGUGUUGCUCCCUGCCCCCUUUACCUCUAAAAUUAAAUGACUUAAAUGCAAUUCAUUUUUGAAGUAGAAAACAAGUAUGUAGCUGAUAGAAAAGGCUUUUCCAUCAAUAGUUGGUUGCUAGUAAGGAGGGUCAAUA
rnacentral:sRNA from 1 species